rnacentral:lncRNA from 1 species
AUCUAAAAGUAAAAUUACAAGAUAUGAAGGAAUGAGAAGCACUUGUAUCAGUCAAAGCACGUGCAAUAGUAUUAUGAACAGAAAGCAUAUCUUGAAUGAUAGUGAGUGUUGUGGAAACAUCGGGCUUAUCCAAGUAGUAAACACAUCCCUAGGCAACAUGUCUGGCAAGGUCCUUGGGCCUCUAUAGGCAAUCUUUCAUCAAAUGUUGUGUACUCCCACACAUAUAAAAAGAGUGGUUCAGGCAUUGAAAGGGCUAGUCACCAUGGUAGCGACCACAAUGCCAACAAGGGGGAGAAGUCCAAAUAGGAUCUCUAAUAGGAGGGGCAAGGCAGUAGGGGCUAGAACAACAUAGGGUCUCUUAUUUAAGUAAUCAGGGCCAGGAUCAGGAAAUUUCCUCUUCUGUUGUUGUUAUUGUUGACUGUAGAAGUUGGUGAUGUGCUGGUUAUGGGUCGAGAUAAGGUCUUCAACCUAUUGGGCAUUCUCUAAUACCUCACUAUAGAAAACUAGGCUUGGACAUGUCGACUCGAUCAAAGAUAUCUAGGUGAAGACCCUUCAAGAACUUCCAGGCCUUACGAGCUUCGAUGAACACCA